CUUUUAACCUGGAUAGAAUUUCAAAUACUAUACUGAGUAGGAAGUGUGGGCAUCCUUACAUUGUCCUUAACUUUAAUGGAAUUUCUUUAUGUUUCUUUCCAUUUAGGUUGAUGUUGCGUGCUGGCUUGCUGUCCAUUGCUUCUAUUUUGUUUCUGCAUAGGACUGACAGGAGGGUAGCAUUAUUUUCCUCUGGAAGGCACAAUGGAGCAGCCGACUGAAACAGCUGCACAGAUGCACGGCCAAACAUUGGAUGGAGCUCAGUGAGUUCCACUGGAGAGCUGAGGGAAGGGCUGGAGAAGCAGAGGAGCUUAACGGGUUUCACGAUAUUCCAUGACAAAACCAAAUUUACACAGUAUCGUUCCACAUAUCCAGUCCUACAAAGGAUAAUCAAUGGCAAAGUCCAACACAUUGUGGCAA